CCAUCCGGGGUUGUAAGUACUCGAAAAAGGAUUAUUGAAAGAUUUUUGAUAGGUAUUCAUAACAUUGGCCUGAUCGUGCAAGACUUCCUUGAAUACGGGUAUUGUGGGGCAAUCAGUGAUGAGAUGGCCAGGCAUCUCGCAAAUCCUACAACACUCGCUGUUAUGUUCUACGGUCUUGACGGGUUCAAUCCUUCUAAGUUCAAUUUCCUCUACCUUCCUAGUAAGGGCUGCUAUUUUAGCCUGAAUAUCAUCCUGAGUACUAAGGUUGUAAAGGCCCCCGUGUGGAAUGCUAGUAGGCUUAGGCAAAGGUUUAUUCACUCUAUCCCCUGUAUCCCAUAAUUGUACAGUCUCUGCGAGAGAGUCUAAAUAGUCCCAUGCCUCAUCGGGUUGCUUUUCCA
rnacentral:lncRNA from 1 species